rnacentral:rRNA from 1 species
GAAACUAACCAGGAUUCCCCCAGUAACGGCGAGUGAACAGGGAUUAGCCCAGCAUCGAAGCCUACGCCUGUUUGGGUGUAAGGCUAUGUGAUGUUUUGGGGCAUGCCUAGGGUCACUGGUCAACUCGAAGUCCAAUAUUGAAAGUGGCUUGUGAAUAUGGCCCAUGGCGGGUGAAAGGCCCGUGCGAGUUGUCUGUCAGUCUUGUCAUAGUGGCCUCUAGAAGCAUGCUCUAUGGAGUCGGAUUGCUUGAGAAUGCAGUCCAAAGUUGGUGGUAAACUCCAUCAAAGGCUAAAUACUGGCACGAGUCCGAUAGCAAACAAGUACCGUGAGGGAAAGUUGAAAAGUACUCUGAAGAGAGAGUAAAUAGUACGUGAAACCACAUACAGGUGAACUGGUGGAGUCCAGCUGCGUGUCCCGUGGACAUAGCUGGCGUGUUGGCAACAUGCACAGUUUGUUGUAAAAUGGCAAGUUGGGUCUGCGCCCAAUUCACGUUCGUCGUGUUGACGAUGUGAGCCGUGCCGUGCAGUCCAGUACGACGAUUGUCAACGUGCUAGUGUCUCUCCUCGGGACUGGCAUCACAGUCAAUAUUACUGCCAAUGUGUGAUGGUUAAACCGUGGAAUGGUGGGCCUUGAAGUUCGCCUUCUAUGUGGACGGCAGGUCGCCUAGUUGUCUGCUUUUUGCGGCCAAUUCGGCUUAAUCAACGGUUACGGCCGGCCGGUCAUCAUGUUGUGUGUAGUGUGCAUUCACUUGUGCAGUGUAUUGGUGAAGAGUUGCGUCGCCCAACGGUUACAGCGUCCCGUCGGCCUGUGUACGGUUAUGCGUAAAAGCGUGCCGUGCAUUGGGCGGGUGUGGAUGUUGUGAUUGUGCGGUGGUGUUCUCGCAUAAACUGUGGUGUUGUGGUA